AUUGAACGCUGGCGGAAUGCUUUACACAUGCAAGUCGAGCGGCAGCACGGGGGCAACCCUGGUGGCGAGCGGCGAACGGGUGAGUAACACAUCGGAACAUGCCCAGUCGUGGGGGAUAACACUUCGAAAGAAGUGCUAAUACCGCAUACGUCCUGAGGGAGAAAGCGGGGGAUCGCAAGACCUCGCGCGAUUGGAGUGGCCGAUGUCAGAUUAGCUAGUUGGUGGGGUAAAGGCCUACCAAGGCAACGAUCUGUAGCUGGUCUGAGAGGAUGAUCAGCCACACUGGGACUGAGACACGGCCCAGACUCCUACGGGAGGCAGCAGUGGGGAAUUUUGGACAAUGGGGGCAACCCUGAUCCAGCCAUUCCGCGUGAGUGAAGAAGGCCUUCGGGUUGUAAAGCUCUUUCGGCAGGAACGAAACGGUGAGCUCUAACAUAGCUUGCUAAUGACGGUACUUGAAGAAGAAGCACCGGCUAACUACGUG
rnacentral:rRNA from 1 species